UUUCUUCUUUCAUCCCCCUUUUCAAUAUCCCCUUCUUUUCUUUUUGGCACAAUAUCCAUCUGAUCAAAUAUUAUUUGCAUAUCAUCUAUAGAAUCAUAAGAUUUGCAUGGUUGUUAGUGCUUAAAUAAAAGUUUAUAUAAACUCUCCUGAAAAUCCUAGCCUCAUUUCUCUCAAAAAACACUCUAGAAUCGUUUUCACUUUGAGAGGGGAGGAAGCCACUAUUCUUCCUCCCUUCCUCCCUUCUAAUCUCUUCCCCCAUUUUCAAAGACAUAAGGUUUCCCUAUUUUCUUUAUUUUGUUAUGAUUUUCCUCCACUUAUCACAGGAGGAUGCGUCUCGACGUCGAAUCUCCACUUGCAUUUUGGUGUAAAAUCUUUACCACCAUCCUUUUUGCAAUUUCUUCAUAUUUGGAAUAAGUCGAAAAGACUUUUUGGGUUUUUUGUGUAGUUUUUACCUCUCCUUUUGUGAGAGUUUUCACAUCUCCUUUGUGAGAGUUUUCACAUCUCCUUUGUGAGAGUUUUCCACCUUUCUUAUGUGAGAAUAUUAUUUGUAUUGUUAUGGCUUGGUUUUUUUUCCAAGCUUUAUGUCUUUUAGUUGUUUUGAGUUUGCACUCUUAAUUGGGAUGCAUAUGCCAGAGUUUCUUCGAUCAUGUGUGAUCGACCUUUCUUAUGUGAGAAUAUUAUUUGUAUUGUUAUGGCUCGGUUUUUUUUCCAAGCUUUAUAUCUUUUAGUUGUUUUGAGUUUGCACUCUUAAUUGGGAUGCAUAUGCCAGAGUUUCUUCGAUCAUGUGUGAUCGUCAGUGGAGGAGCCCCAAAUUGUCUUAAUUUUGAUGUUUGAUCGGUCUCUGUUAUUGUUAUGGCCCUUUGUGGCUAGUGAUUUUUUUGAUUAAAUUAUAAAUGUAAUCUCAUAAUUUCUCAACAAAAUAAAAGUUGAUAUAGACGAUACUUCCAACCUGGGGCGGCUAUGAAAUUUUAGAGGCCUCGUACAAAAUUAGUACUAAGGCCUCAUAAAAAGGCUUGAACAAAAACAUAUAUAUCUUGAUAGCAAAUUUAAAACUACUCAUCAAUAUCGAGUUUUUUUUCAGUCGUGCCUCUAGAUUUUGUUCAAAUUUGGCAGAGGUCUCUUUAUGUAAAGAUCCAUUUUAGAUAUGUGGAUAUAUCUCACUGCCAUGAAUGUCUCUUUUGGUGAGGAUUAGGGUUUUAACUUUUGAGACCAGAAGCCUUGGUGUGGAGAAUUGCAGAGGUUCGGUGCUCGGGUCCUGGUUGAUGUGAGAUAGUGCUCUGGUGCGUGGUUGAGCAUCAAGUCGUAGCUAAGUGGUUAUGCCAUUUCUCUUGGAUGUUGUCUUCCUCUCGAGUCCUUGCUGACUUGGCAUCCUGGAUUCCGAUUAGGCGCCGCUCCUGAAGGGUAUGAUUGCUCUAUUCUCCUCAUAGUUUGGUUUCUAAUGAGCUAGUUUAUUGGUCCAUGUUUUUGGCUCGUUGUUCUGGCCUUUGUGUUGGUCGUUGUGUAUUCAUUUUUUGGCUUUAACCUUCCUAUUUACGGGGUUUUUAUUUUGGUAAUUUCUUUGUAAUUGGGCAGAUCAAUGAAAUUUUACUUUUAUUCUAUAAAAAAUUGUAAACAAUCCGCACUCCUUAAGUGUGUUUGAAUUUAUAUUAGGC
rnacentral:lncRNA from 1 species